UAUUAGGUUGGUGCAAAAGUAAUUGCGGUUUUUGCCACUGAAAGUAUUGGCAAAAACUGCAAUUACUUUUGCACCAACCUAAUA
rfam:Pan troglodytes isolate Yerkes chimp pedigree #C0471 (Clint) chromosome X, whole genome shotgun sequence.